UACGUAGGGUGCAAGCGUUGUCCGGAAUUAUUGGGCGUAAAGAGCUCGUAGGCGGUCUGUCGCGUCUGCUGUGAAAACUCGGGGCUUAACCCCGGGCCUGCAGUGGGUACGGGCAGACUAGAGUGCGGUAGGGGAGACUGGAAUUCCUGGUGUAGCGGUGAAAUGCGCAGAUAUCAGGAGGAACACCGGUGGCGAAGGCGGGUCUCUGGGCCGAUACUGACGCUGAGGAGCGGAAAGCAUGGGUAGCGAACAGG
rnacentral:rRNA from 1 species